UUGUGGAGUAAGCCGGAGAUCCGCAUUAAUUAUGGAGUAAGCCGGAGAUCCGCAUUAAUUGUUGAGUGAGCCGGAGGGUUACAGCGACCAUGCGCAAUAAAUGCCAGAGGGGCGUCAGGGUAUGGUCUUCGGCCGGACCUCAGAGGUGCACGGCCGUAGUAGGUGGCUGACAAGAGUAGACCUCAAACAUCGGGGCUUUUCUCAAAUCGGAGGUCUCGAGGUCGGUCGUCUUGAGGUCGGGCGUCCCGAGGUCGGACGCCGACUUCGGCCGUCCAGGGUCGGAGGUCGUGCGGCUCCUUAGGGACAUUUGCGUCAUUUGGGGAAAAAUCUUGUUCCCCCCAACA
rnacentral:lncRNA from 1 species